UAGAAGAUUGGCAAAAUUGAGUCUGAAAUAAAUUGUUCACUCAAGAGUUUAGGUUAAGCAAUUAAUCUAGAUGAAUUGAGAACUAGCAAAUUAACUGAAUCAAGCGUUUUGGUAUGUGAAUUUAGAUUGAAGCUGUACGGUGCUUAAGUCACAGUGCUCUUGA
rnacentral:misc_RNA from 1 species